AAACCAACCGGGAUUGCCUUAGUAACGGCGAGUGAAGCAGCAAAAGCUCAAAUUUGAAAUCUGGUACCUUCGGUGCCCGAGUUGUAAUUUGGAGAGGGCAACUUUGGGGCCGUUCCUUGUCUAUGUUCCUUGGAACAGGACGUCAUAGAGGGUGAGAAUCCCGUGUGGCGAGGAGUGCGGUUCUUUGUAAAGUGCCUUCGAAGAGUCGAGUUGUUUGGGAAUGCAGCUCUAAGUGGGUGGUAAAUUCCAUCUAAAGCUAAAUAUUGGCGAGAGACCGAUAGCGAACAAGUACAGUGAUGGAAAGAUGAAAAGAACUUUGAAAAGAGAGUGAAAAAGUACGUGAAAUUGUUGAAAGGGAAGGGCAUUUGAUCAGACAUGGUGUUUUGUGCCCUCUGCUCCUUGUGGGUAGGGGAAUCUCGCAUUUCACUGGGCCAGCAUCAGUUUUGGUGGCAGGAUAAAUCCAUAGGAAUGUAGCUUGCCUCGGUAAGUAUUAUAGCCUGUGGGAAUACUGCCAGCUGGGACUGAGGACUGCGACGUAAGUCAAGGAUGCUGGCAUAAUGGUUAUAUGCCGC
rnacentral:rRNA from 1 species